rnacentral:misc_RNA from 1 species
GAUGAAGAACGUAGCGAAAUGCGAUAAGUAAUGUGAAUUGCAGAAUUCAGUGAAUCAUCGAAUCUUUGAACGCACAUUGCGCCCGCCAGUAUUCUGGCGGGCAUGCCUGUUCGAGCGUCAUUACAACCCUCAGGCCCCCGGGCCUGGCGUUGGGGAUCGGCGGAGCGCCCCCUGCGGGCACACGCCGUCCCCCAAAUACAGUGGCGGUCCCGCCGCAGCUUCCAUUGCGUAGUAGCUAACACCUCGCAACUGGAGAGCGGCGCGGCCACGCCGUAAAACACCCAACUUCUGAAUGUUGACCUCGAAACAGGUAGGAAUACCCGCUGAACUUAAGCAUAUCAAUAAGCGGAGGA